rnacentral:tRNA from 1 species
ACCUGGGUGGCUUAGUGGUUGAGCGUCUGCUUUUGGCUCAGACCUUGAUCCCAGGGUUGUGGGAUCUAGUCCCACCUCAGGCU